rnacentral:rRNA from 1 species
UACGUAGGUGGCAAGCGUUGUCCGGAAUUAUUGGGCGUAAAGCGCGCGCAGGCGGUUUUAUAAGUCUGAUGUGAAAGCCCACGGCUCAACCGUGGAAGGUCAUUGGAAACUGGUAAACUUGAGUGCAGAAGAGAAAAGUGGAAUUCCUAGUGUAGCGGUGAAAUGCGUAGAGAUAAGGAGGAACACCAGUGGCGAAGGCGACUUUCUGGUCUGUAACUGACGCUGAUGUGCGAAAGCGUGGGGAGCAAACAGG